ACUCCUACGGAAGGCAGCAGUGGGGAAUCUUGCGCAAUGGGCGAAAGCCUGACGCAGCAACGCCGCGUGGGGGAUGAAGGCUCUCGGGUUGUAAACCCCUUUCAGCAGGGACGAAAUUGACGGUACCUGCAGAAGAAGCCCCGGCUAACUACGUGCCAGCAGCCGCGGUAAUG
rnacentral:rRNA from 1 species